rnacentral:rRNA from 1 species
UACAGAGGGUGCGAGCGUUAAUCGGAAUUACUGGGCGUAAAGCGCGCGUAGGCGGCUUUUCAAGUCGAUUGUGAAAUCCCCGGGCUUAACCUGGGAACUGCAGUCGAGACUGUCUAGCUAGAGUAUGGGAGAGGGAAGUGGAAUUUCGGGUGUAGCGGUGAAAUGCGUAGAUAUCUGAAGGAACAUCAGUGGCGAAAGCGACUUCCUGGACCAAUACUGACGCUCAUGUGCGAAAGCGUGGGGAGCAAACAGG